rnacentral:rRNA from 1 species
GGUUAAGUGACUAAGCGUACACGGUGGAUGCCUUGGCAGUCAGAGGCGAUGAAAGACGUAGUAACUUGCGAUAAGCCCAGAUUAGGUAGUAACAACCAUUUGAGUCUGGGAUUUCUGAAUGGGGAAACCCACGUGCAUAAGCACGUAUCCUUACCUGAAUACAUAGGGUAAGGAGGCGAACCGGGGGAACUGAAACAUCUAAGUACCCCGAGGAAAAGAAAUCAACCGAGAUUCCGAAAGUAGCGGCGAGCGAAAUUGGACUAGCCCUUAAGCUUUACACGCGUUAGACGAACGGUCUGGAAAGUCCGACGAUACAGGGUGAUAGUCCCGUAGUUGACGAUGUGUGUUCAGUGAAAUCGAGUAGGGCGGGACACGUGAUAUCCUGUCUGAAUAUGGGGGGACCAUCCUCCAAGGCUAAAUACUACUGACUGACCGAUAGUGAACCAGUACCGUGAGGGAAAGGCGAAAAGAACCCCUGUGAGGGGAGUGAAAUAGAACCUGAAACCGUGUACGUACAAGCAGUAGGAGCAGGCUUUGUCCUGUGACUGCGUACCUUUUGUAUAAUGGGUCAGCGACUUAUAUUCAGUGGCAAGGUUAACCAUCUAGGGGAGCCGUAGGGAAACCGAGUCUUAACUGGGCGUUCAGUCUCUGGAUAUAGACCCGAAACCAGGUGAUCUAGCCAUGGGCAGGUUGAAGGUUGAGUAACAUCAACUGGAGGACCGAACCGACUAAUGUUGAAAAAUUAGCGGAUGACUUGUGGCUAGGGGUGAAAGGCCAAUCAAACCUGGAGAUAGCUGGUUCUCCCCGAAAGCUAUUUAGGUAGCGCCUCGGACGAAUACUACUGGGGGUAGAGCACUGUUAAGGCUAGGGGGUCAUCCCGACUUACCAACCCUUUGCAAACUCCGAAUACCAGUAAGUACUAUCCGGGAGACACACGGCGGGUGCUAACGUCCGUCGUGGAGAGGGAAACAACCCAGACCGCCAGCUAAGGUCCCAAAUUACUACUAAGUGGGAAACGAUGUGGGAAGGCUCAGACAGCCAGGAUGUUGGCUUAGAAGCAGCCAUCAUUUAAAGAAAGCGUAAUAGCUCACUGGUCGAGUCGGCCUGCGCGGAAGAUGUAACGGGGCUAAGUAGUAAACCGAAGCUGCGGCAAUGUGCUUUUGCACAUUGGGUAGGGGAGCGUUCUGUAAGCGGUUGAAGGUGUGUGGUAACGCAUGCUGGACGUAUCAGAAGUGCGAAUGCUGACAUGAGUAACGAUAAAGGGGGUGAAAAACCUCCUCGCCGGAAGACCAAGGGUUCCUGUCCAACGUUAAUCGGGGCAGGGUAAGUCGACCCCUAAGGCGAGGCCGAAAGGCGUAGUCGAUGGGAAACGGGUUAAUAUUCCCGUACUUCUUACAAUUGCGAUGGGGGGACGGAGAAGGCUAGGUGGGCCUGGCGACGGUUGUCCAGGUUCAAGUGCGUAGGCUUAAGAGUUAGGUAAAUCCGGCUCUUUUUAAGGCUGAGACACGACGUCGAGCACCUACGGGUGUGAAGUCAUUGAUGCCAUGCUUCCAGGAAAAGCCUCUAAGCUUCAGAUUGUAAGGAAUCGUACCCCAAACCGACACAGGUGGUCGGGUAGAGAAUACCAAGGCGCUUGAGAGAACUCGGGUGAAGGAACUAGGCAAAAUGGUACCGUAACUUCGGGAGAAGGUACGCUCUUGAUGGUGAAGUCCCUUGCGGAUGGAGCUGACGAGAGUCGCAGAUACCAGGUGGCUGCAACUGUUUAUUAAAAACACAGCACUGUGCAAAAUCGUAAGAUGACGUAUACGGUGUGACGCCUGCCCGGUGCCGGAAGGUUAAUUGAUGGGGUUAGACUUCGGUCGAAGCUCUUGAUCGAAGCCCCGGUAAACGGCGGCCGUAACUAUAACGGUCCUAAGGUAGCGAAAUUCCUUGUCGGGUAAGUUCCGACCUGCACGAAUGGCGUAAUGAUGGCCACGCUGUCUCCACCCGAGACUCAGUGAAAUUGAAAUCGCUGUGAAGAUGCAGUGUACCCGCGGCUAGACGGAAAGACCCCGUGAACCUUUACUACAGCUUGGCACUGAACAUUGACCCUACAUGUGUAGGAUAGGUGGGAGGCUUUGAAGCACGUACGCCAGUAUGUGUGGAGCCGUCCUUGAAAUACCACCCUUGUAGUGUUGAUGUUCUAACGUCGACCCCUUAUCGGGGUUGCGGACAGUGCCUGGUGGGUAGUUUGACUGGGGCGGUCUCCUCCCAAAGAGUAACGGAGGAGCACGAAGGUGGGCUAAUCACGGUUGGACAUCGUGAGGUUAGUGCAAUGGCAUAAGCCCGCUUGACUGCGAGAAUGACAAUUCGAGCAGGUGCGAAAGCAGGUCAUAGUGAUCCGGUGGUUCUGAAUGGAAGGGCCAUCGCUCAACGGAUAAAAGGUACUCCGGGGAUAACAGGCUGAUACCGCCCAAGAGUUCAUAUCGACGGCGGUGUUUGGCACCUCGAUGUCGGCUCAUCACAUCCUGGGGCUGAAGUCGGUCCCAAGGGUAUGGCUGUUCGCCAUUUAAAGUGGUACGCGAGCUGGGUUUAGAACGUCGUGAGACAGUUCGGUCCCUAUCUGCCGUGGGCGUUGGAAGAUUGAAGGGGGCUGCUCCUAGUACGAGAGGACCGGAGUGGACGAACCUCUGGUGUUCGGGUUGUGUCGCCAGACGCAUUGCCCGGUAGCUAAGUUCGGAAUCGAUAACCGCUGAAAGCAUCUAAGCGGGAAGCGAGCCCUGAGAUGAGUCUUCCCUGAUACUUUAAGUAUCCUAAAGGGUUGUCGGAGACUACGACGUUGAUAGGUCAGGUGUGUAAGUGCUGUGAGGCAUUGAGCUAACUGAUACUAAUUGCCCGUGAGGCUUAACCAU